GAAAGCACUCAACCCAAACUCAAGUACAUGAUGUGCUCUCACUCUCAUGGAUCCAAAUCUGGUCCAAACCUGGAUUAGCCCCCCUCAAGACCCAAAUCUCCCGGGCCUCGAGCCCAUGGAGGCUGAACCUCCACCUUAGGACCAAACCGAUCCUAGCCCUAAGACCAAACCAGUCUUAGAAUCUUGGAAACAAGCCCAUGGUUCCUCUCGUGGUCUCCCAAGGCUUGGGAGCACCACACAUGCAUCAAUAGGGAAGACUCUCCUUC
rnacentral:lncRNA from 1 species